GAACAACCUGCCAAUUAAAAUGCACAAAGCCUAGAGUGCAGCUGAAUGGGAUUCCUUUCCUUGUCUUUACACAUCGUUACUGACCUUGCUCAAUUGUGUCAGACAUUAAUGAAAAGUUAAGUGACAAAGAAAAUAAAGCCACCACAAGAAAAUCACCACAAUGAGAACAAGGAGACUUUUGUACUCACUCCACCAUGGCCAUGUCGAGUCUUGAGUCUGGGUGUAGAAUGGCUGGGGGUGCCUAGAGAGAUACGUCCAUGUCUGGGUGGAACAGCGCCAGAUGGAGACAAAGCCACCAUGCAGGGGUCACCUACAUAAUGCAGAUCAGUCUGAGAACACACCCGUCAUAAAGCUGUCCUGACCAAGAUAUGGCACCUCAGAUUCCAAAUCACAUUCCAGGUCAGCUCUAAAAACAGACAAAAGUAGUCAUUGUGGUGAGGACCGUGGCAUCCAUGCCCAGCUCAGGCUCCAAGCAGAUCUCCCCCAGGGGCAAGACUCACU